CGAAAAACAGAAACUUCUUAAUGAAAAAACCUUUGAAGCUCUUGGAAGCAGUCUGAGUGAAUUGGAAUACUUGUGUGGUUUGAACACCACUGAUGUAUGUGAAGAUUCUUGCGGUUUAUUAGAUUCAAUGCCAUUAGGCCAAGAUGAAAACCUCGAGCCAGCAGUUACUACGCUCGACAGUGACACUGUGACCGACACGCUGGAUGAUGAAAAGUCUACCUUUGACUUUGUGAAGGAACUGAAAAAUGUUAACACAACAAGAAAAACUGACUCGGAUUUAAGAAAAUUUACAAAUUACUUAACAAUGAACAAAGAGUUUAGGAAACCAGAGGAAAUCCCGGUCGGAGAACUCGAUUUACAUUUAGCUAGAUUUUUUAUGAACGCGAAGAAAACGAAUGGUGAGGAAUUUGAACCAGACACGCUUAAAUCAAUACAAGGAAGUGUUAAUCGUUACUUCGCAGACAGAAAUUUGAAAAUAAACAUUUUAAAUGAUAAAGAAUUUAAACUCGUGAUGUCCUCGCCUCGAAAAGAAAGCUACUAAGAUCCAUGGGCAAAGGAAACCGCGAGAAGAGAGCAGAGCCCCUUACUCCUGAAGAAAUUGAUAUUUUAUAUCAAAAGAAUCUUCUGGGUACCGGAGAUCCAAAGUCUCUGAUGAAUGUGUUGUAUCUAAAUAAUACAAUGCAUUUCGGAAUGCGCAGUAGGAUUGAACAUGUCAACCUGAGGUAGGGUGAUGUGACAAUGAAAGUUACUUCAACGGGAGAAGAGUACUUGGAAUACACAGAAAGAGCAACUAAGACAAGAACUGGUAUAACGAGUGACACCAGGAAUUUUGCUCCGAAAAUGUUUGAGGAUAGAGGUAAUCCCCGAUGCCCUGUGUUAGCUUACAAAGAGUUUGCGAACAGGAGACCUGAGCCAAUGGAAAAGCCUGAGUCACCAUUCUACAUAGGCAUUUCAAGAAAUCCAGAGAAAGCCUGGUUCGUUAAUCAACCUAUGGGAAAAAACACAAUUGGAAAUAUUGUUAAGGUGAUGUGUGAAGCUGGUGGCAUUCAAGGAAGAAAAGUAAAUCAAAGUGCUAGAAAAACAGCCAUUAGUUACCUUGUUCAUGCAGG